UACGAAGGGGGCUAGCGUUACUCGGAAUCACUGGGCGUAAAGCGCACGUAGGCGGAUCUUUAAGUCAGGGGUGAAAUCCUGGAGCUCAACUCCAGAACUGCCUCUGAUACUGGGGAUCUUGAGUCCGGAAGAGGUAAGUGGAACUGCGAGUGUAGAGGUGAAAUUCGUAGAUAUUCGCAAGAACACCAGUGGCGAAGGCGGCUUACUGGUCCGGUACUGACGCUGAGGUGCGAAAGUGUGGGGAUCAAACAGG
rnacentral:rRNA from 1 species